CUUGAGAUGGAUUUGAACAUAAAUCAAAGGAUAUAUUAAAACUUUGUUGUUGUUGUUAUUGAGUUAUGUUUUUAUAUUUACUUCAAUAAAUACAACUAAAAUGGGACAUCUUAUUUUUUCUCUUAUAAGAAUGUGACCAGGAUGUGCUGACACUGUGCUUCCUUUCUAGCUGACUGUUCUAGUUUCCUUCACUAAAAUCCUCGCUGAUUGUUUCACUUGUGUAGGAGUCUUUUUUUCCACUGGGCUUUUGGAGUAACGGAGCCUGACUGUUAUGGAGCCAUUGAUGUGGACUCUGGGAAAUCCAUCCUUCUUGUUCCCAAACUGCCUGAAAGCUAUGCCACUCGGAUGGGAGAAUUGCUGAUGUCCUGUCCAACCUGACACCAGCAGUUCUCCUAACACUGGUUCCAAGUAAACAACACUGUCUUCCACCCAAUCAUUUUGGAAUGUUUGUUUCACAUGGGUGGAGAGUACCACCGCUACACAUCAGACAUCACCUGCUCCUUCCCAGAAGACGGCCAGUUCACUCAUGACCAGAGGGCUAUUUACAAGGCUGUCCUCAAGUCCUCUCAAACCAGGUGGGAAGUGGACUGACAUGACCUGGAGGAGUUGGUAAAGAUUGACAUCCUGAAUGGCAGUGUGGACGACGUCUUCAUGCCCCGUGGACUGGGGACACCUGCUGGGCAUCACAUGCACAAUGUUGGAGGCUACCCUGAGACAAAUAAUGUACACUGGCUGAUUGAUGACACCCUGUGGACAUAGUGCAAAGAGCUGAAAGCCAAAUAAAUGGUGCCAAAGUCAGUGAUUUCGGCAGUUUCACAAACACACAUCCUCUUUUGAGGAAGGCAGGACUAGAGUGGAUUCUGGAACAUGCAUUACAUUCAGUAAGUGGAUGCUUUAAUUCAUUCAUGGAACCAUUAGUAAUCCUCAGGUGUCUGAGGCCAGCUGCCUGUUGAAAUCCUUUCAGAAUGUCCUCCAUGGCCCAUAUGUCUCAACUGUUAAGAGAUCAUGACACCCAGGUGAACAUGACAACUCGGCACCUCUAUGCUCCGGCAGGCACAUCACAUGAUGAUAUGAUAAAGCUGAAGAGGCCUGUACAAAGGUCAUCACAUCCAUCAUAUUCUAUUAGACGUUGCAUCUGCAGUGGGAGUUCACAUUAUGCUAAAUGAAUUUGUGUGCCUCAGAUAAUAUGCUAUUAACUAUCUUAUCUUGCUCAGUUGGUUAAAAUGCUUUUGCAGGAAUGGGGACAUCCCAUUGGUGAAGAACUUAACCUCCCUCAGGGACUGUUUGAGCAAAAAAGAGCUAUUCCAGAGAGGUCUUGUUACCACAGUGACCUUUAUUCUGCAGCCUUUGAGUCGAGCAGGUACACGUUUUUUUCUGCUGAUCUAUUGUUGGUCUCAGUUCUCUAAUUACUCCCCGUCUGCUUCCCUGUAGAUUAUUGAUGCUCUGUCCAACCUAAAACCAGCAGUGCUGCGAACACUGGCAUUCUGCUUAUGCUCCUAUUAGCGUCAUCCAUUAGUACAAUUCCAUGGUUAGGACAAUGCUGUACAGUCCUCUGGAUUCAAGUGAAAUUAAAUCCAUGCACAGAAAUAAUCAUAUUGUGUUGCACAGUGUUGAUAUUUAACUUGUUUUUCUCUUCACGCACAAGGGACAGAAAUCAGCAGCAGCUUCUGUGAAACCCGCUUUGAGUGAAUUAGUCAGUGUUUGACUUUAUUUGCAUAAUUUACUGUCAUUUAAAUUGAUUGUUGCUGAUUAAUUUGAUUCUGAAUGUAAUUUAAUCAAGCAACAAUUCCUGCUUCUGCAUGUAGGCUCUCACUUCACGUCUCACAUCUUAUUUCUGUCUGCAUCUGGUCCAACACUGCUAUGGAGCUAUAUGAAGGGAUUACUGUUUGACCAGAAAUCAAAUAAAAACAUAGUUCCUUCAGAAGCUUUUUCCACAAAAAACACAUUUUCUCUUUACAUCUUAUUACAAAUGCGACCU